GCGCCCAUAGUUCAAUGGAUUAGAAUAGAAGAUUCCGGUUCUUCAGAUUAGGGUUCGAUUCCCUAUGGGCGUACCA
rnacentral:tRNA from 1 species